rnacentral:rRNA from 1 species
UACGUAGGGUCCGAGCGUUGUCCGGAAUUAUUGGGCGUAAAGAGCUCGUAGGCGGUCUGUCGCGUCGGAUGUGAAAAUCCAGGGCUCAACCCUGGACCUGCAUUCGAUACGGGCAGACUAGAGUUCGGUAGGGGAGACUGGAAUUCCUGGUGUAGCGGUGAAAUGCGCAGAUAUCAGGAGGAACACCUAUUGCGAAGGCAGCUCGCUGGGACGUAACUGACGCUGAGACGCGAAAGCGUGGGGAGCAAACAGG